rnacentral:rRNA from 1 species
AAAACGACUCUCGGCAACGGAUAUCUCGGCUCUCGCAUCGAUGAAGAACGUAGCGAAAUGCGAUACUUGGUGUGAAUUGCAGAAUCCCGUGAGCCAUCGAGUCUUUGAACGCAAGUUGCGCCCCAAGCCGUCAGGCCGAGGGCACGUCUGCCUGGGUGUCACGC